CCUACGGGGGGCAGCAGUGAGGGAUUUUCGGCAAUGGGCGAAAGCCUGACCGAGCGACGCCGCGUGAGCGAAGAAGGCCUUCGGGUCGUAAAGCUCUGUCUAGGGGGACGAGGAAGGACGGUACCCCUGGAGGAAGCCACGGCUAACUACGUGCCAGCAGCCGCGGUAAUACGUAGGUGGCGAGCGUUGUCCGGAAUUACUGGGCGUAAAGGGCGCGCAGGCGGUUCGUUAAGUCCAAGGUGAAAUCCCACGGCUCAACUGUGGGGGGACCCUGGAUACUGGCGGGCUGGAGUGCGGGAGAGGGAAGCGGAAUUCCACGUGUAACGGUGAAAUGUAUAGAUAUGUGGAGGAACACCGGUGGCGAAGGCGGCUUCCUGGACCGUAACUGACGCUGAGGCGCGAAAGCUGGGGGAGCGAACAGGCUUAGAUACCCCAGUAGUC
rnacentral:rRNA from 1 species